rnacentral:tRNA from 1 species
UCCCAUAUGGUCUAGUGGUUAGGAUUUGGCGCUUUCACCGCCUAGGCUCGGGUUCAAUUCCCGGUGUGUGAA